rnacentral:lncRNA from 1 species
GGUAACGAGAAAUGAGUUGAGUAGAAGCGAAUGCUUGGAGUCUAGUGUAGUCUCCUUAGUGGGUCAUGCUCUGAUAGAUGUAACAUCGGGAGGGAACCUUUUAAUUAUGUUGUUAAAGAUUAUUGAACCAGUUUACAUGUAGUAUGUUACAUGUUUUGAUUAAUUUGAUUUAUAUCCGCUGCGAUUUAUGCAAAUGUUUAAUUGAUUAAAUAAAGAGCAUGACAAUUAUUUGGAA